ACGAACGCUGGCGGCAUGCCUAACACAUGCACGUCGAACGAGACCUUCGGGUCUAGUGGCGCACGGGUGCGAACGCGUGGGAACCUGCCCUUAGGUUCGGAAUAACUCCCCGAAAGGGGUGCUAAUACCGGAUAAUGUCUUCGGACCAAAGAUUUAUCGCCUUUGGAUGGGCCCGCGUUGGAUUAGCUAGUUGGUAGGGUAAAAGCCUACCAAGGCGACGAUCCAUAGCUGGUCUGAGAGGAUGAUCAGCCACACUGGGACUGAGACACGGCCCAGACUCCUACGGGAGGCAGCAGUGGGGAAUAUUGGACAAUGGGCGAAAGCCUGAUCCAGCAAUGCCGCGUGAGUGAUGAAGGCCUUAGGGUUGUAAAGCUCUUUUACCCGGGAUGAUAAUGACAGUACCGGGAGAAUAAGCUCCGGCUAACUCCGUG
rnacentral:rRNA from 1 species